GUGGGCUUGGUGACAUCUCUCCCCUUGGCCCAAAGUGUCCAACCCAGGUGGACAAGGAAUGCUGCGCCCCGAGAACGCGCCUCACCCCAAACCACUAAGCGGCUGAAGGCCGGCUCCACGUUCUGCGGACCGAUUUAAAGGCCCCACAGUUCUACCCACUAGGUUUCCCAAGAAAGCAGGACGUCCCCAGUGUUUACUUUGGAGGAAAGAGGGAUCGAUCCCGCCUCUCGAGUUAAUCCCAUUGAAAGGACGACGCGAGGAGAGAGGCCGUUUCCAUUCUGAUCCGUUCGCCCCCUAAAUAAGAGGCCUCUUCGGUCUUCCUUGAUCAGCCCUGGACAUGUGUUCCCCAUUUAGACAAAAAGAAACUUUUCACACAUCACAAAACAGCCCAGCUCGGAGUGGAGUGGACGCUUGUGAUCGGAAUGCAAGGGAGGCCAAACAGAUCUGCAGGGGAACGUGGGAUGACCGGUUGAUAUCCUCUGACCCA